UCUAUCCAUUUUCCUGUACAAAGCAUUUACCCAUUAAUGGGUGAAAAACAUCUUAUAAGUCACAGUGUUCAUUUCAGUUUCGGUCGAGCGGGCCGUGCGAGGCUAAAUUUUAAAAUUCUUAAAAACAAUCAUGAGAGCUUCAAACGAGGCUUUAAAAUAAUAUUCAAAUACGUUUGCGCUAGAAGAAUUAUCCUGGCCACAAAAUGCAAUGUUGUCGGUGGAUGCCAGUCAGUGGACGACGUAAGAGCUGGAGCGGAUCGUUUGUGGGAAUGGAUGUAGUAACUCAUCGUUUUCUGUUGGUGUUUCGCGCUCCCUACACCGAAGAUAUGCUAACUUCUCUGAAUCGGAAAGGGCUUCGGCCCAAGUGUGGACUUCAUGUAACAGGGUGGCGAAUUCCCACACGCAACGGCACCAGAAUGGAACUUUAUCCUAGGACACACCGGUCCCGAAUUUCUGCCCAAGGCAAACGUUGGAUCCCAGUACUUCACCGUAUCUUGAUGACCAUCAGCGUCUCCGACAGCGUCGUCGAAAGGAUGAGCAUCAUCCGGCACUGGAAAGUCGAAUUUUGGCAAGACAUAUCAAAACAAAUCGUCGUCGCCAUCUGUUGUCAACUUCAUAAUGUUAUCUUAAUUAAGUCAUUAUAUUCUUUUGUUUUUCCUUUAAUAUAAGUACCUAAAUAAAUAAAAUUCGUUUGCUCGCUCA